AAGAUGUUAGUAAAAUAUUACAAAGCCUUGUCAUGGCUUAACUGCCGGUCUAAACCCGACACAUCUUCU
rnacentral:tRNA from 2 species